rnacentral:lncRNA from 1 species
AACAUAUCACAGACACGUGUAGAGUAAGUAAGUAUUCAAUCGUCUAAUUAAUUUAAUUGACUCUUAUUACAAAGCUCCAAGUAUAACCUAAACCUCUCUGAUUUUGAGAAUUAGAUAGGAAAAGUCUUUGUUGUUUUGUCAACUAGGAAAAAGUCAGGAGACAUGCAUGCCGUAAAAGUUUGAAUGGAAUCGGGUUGUCUCUACAAUUGACGAAAAUAACACUCCCAAGUGGGAGGUACGGGCUACUUUUCUCGUGUGUUUAAUUCAACCAACUCCCGGACUGGGCUUGGACCAGUUAGUAGUUUCCCUUUCUUUUCUUUCUUUUCUUUUAUUUUUCACUUCUUUUGCUUUGAUUUUUUUUUUUGUACAAACUUCUUUUGCUUUGAUAGCCGAGAGUAAAGAAAGCACAAUGGUUGCAGUAUUAGAAAACCUCAUUAUAAGCCACAGGCAACCCAUGACCUACAGUAGUGAAAUUAGGAUUUCAGAUUAAAGGGGAUCCUUCAUAAAAAAAAAAUUAAAAAUAGUUCGAAUAGGAGCCCUCAAACGCUAACGGGUUAAUUAAUAAUAUUAUUUCAUAUUGAUCAAUAAUUU